AUUGAACGCUGGAGGCAGGCUUAACACAUGCAAGUCGAGCGAGCGGCGGACGGGUGAGUAAUGUCUGGGAAACUGCCUGAGGGAGGGGGAUAACUACUGGAAACGGGAGAUAAUACAGCAUAACAUCAGAUGUGCCCAGAUGUGAUUAGCUAGUAGGUGGGGUAAUGGCUCACCUAGUCGACGAUCCCUAGAGGGUCUGAGAGUAUGACCAGCCACACUGGACCUGAGACCCGGUCCCGACUCCUACGGGAGGCAGCAGUGGGGAAUAUUGCACAAUGGGCGCAACCCUGAUGCAGCCAUGCCGCGUGUGUGAAGAAGGCCUUCGGGUUGUAAAGCACUUUCAGCGAGGAGGCGUUACUCGCAGAAGAAGCACCGGCUAACUCCGUGCCAGCAGCCGCGGUAAUAC
rnacentral:rRNA from 1 species